rnacentral:rRNA from 1 species
AUGCUUGGGAACAUGCCUUGAGGUGGGGGACAACAGUUGGAAACGACUGCUAAUACCGCAUAAUGUCUACGGACCAAAGGGGGCUUCGGCUCUCGCCUUUAGAUUGGCCCAAGUGGGAUUAGCUAGUUGGUGAGGUAAUGGCUCACCAAGGCGACGAUCCCUAGCUGGUUUGAGAGGAUGAUCAGCCACACUGGGACUGAGACACGGCCCAGACUCCUACGGGAGGCAGCAGUGGGGAAUAUUGCACAAUGGGCGCAAGCCUGAUGCAGCCAUGCCGCGUGUGUGAAGAAGGCCUUCGGGUUGUAAAGCACUUUCAGUCAGGAGGAAAGGUUAGUAGUUAAUACCUGCUAGCUGUGACGUUACUGACAGAAGAAGCACCGGCUAACUCCGUGCCAGCAGCCGCGGUAAUACGGAGGGUGCGAGCGUUAAUCGGAAUUACUGGGCGUAAAGCGUACGCAGGCGGUUUGUUAAGCGAGAUGUGAAAGCCCCGGGCUCAACCUGGGAACUGCAUUUCGAACUGGCAAACUAGAGUGUGAUAGAGGGUGGUAGAAUUUCAGGUGUAGCGGUGAAAUGCGUAGAGAUCUGAAGGAAUACCGAUGGCGAAGGCAGCCACCUGGGUCAACACUGACGCUCAUGUACGAAAGCGUGGGGAGCAAACGGGAUUAGAUACCCCGGUAGUCCACGCCGUAAACGAUGUCUACUAGAAGCUCGGAACCUCGGUUCUGUUUUUCAAAGCUAACGCAUUAAGUAGACCGCCUGGGGAGUACGGCCGCAAGGUUAAAACUCAAAUGAAUUGACGGGGGCCCGCACAAGCGGUGGAGCAUGUGGUUUAAUUCGAUGCAACGCGAAGAACCUUACCUACACUUGACAUACAGAGAACUUACCAGAGAUGGUUUGGUGCCUUCGGGAACUCUGAUACA